rnacentral:rRNA from 1 species
GACGAACGCUGGCGGCGUGCCUAAUACAUGCAAGUUGAGCGCUGAAGGUUGGUACUUGUACCAACUGGAUGAGCAGCGAACGGGUGAGUAACGCGUGGGGAAUCUGCCUUUGAGCGGGGGACAACAUUUGGAAACGAAUGCUAAUACCGCAUAAAAACUUUAAACACAAGUUUUAAGUUUGAAAGAUGCAAUUGCAUCACUCAAAGAUGAUCCCGCGUUGUAUUAGCUAGUUGGUGAGGUAAAGGCUCACCAAGGCGAUGAUACAUAGCCGACCUGAGAGGGUGAUCGGCCACAUUGGGACUGAGACACGGCCCAAACUCCUACGGGAGGCAGCAGUAGGGAAUCUUCGGCAAUAGACGAAAGUCUGACCGAGCAACGCCGCGUGAGUGAAGAAGGUUUUCGGAUCGUAAAACUCUGCUGGUAGAGAAGAACGUUGGUGAGAGUGGAAAGCUCAUCAAGUGACGGUAACUACCCAGAAAGGGACGGCUAACUACGUG